rnacentral:rRNA from 1 species
GGCGCGAGCAGGUGCGAAAGCAGGUCAUAGUGAUCCGGUGGUUCUGAAUGGAAGGGCCAUCGCUCAACGGAUAAAAGGUACUCCGGGGAUAACAGGCUGAUACCGCCCAAGAGUUCAUAUCGACGGCGGUGUUUGGCACCUCGAUGUCGGCUCAUCACAUCCUGGGGCUGAAGUAGGUCCCAAGGGUAUGGCUGUUCGCCAUUUAAAGUGGUACGCGAGCUGGGUUUAGACGUCGUGAGACAGUUCGGUCCCUAUCUGCCGUGGGCGCUGGAGAAUUGAGGGGGG